AGAGUUUGAUCCUGGCUCAGAACAAACGCUGGCGGCGUGCCUAACACAUGCAAGUCGUACGAGAAAGUCCGCUUCGGUGGAUAAGUAAAGUGGCGCACGGGUGAGUAACGCGUGGAUAAUCUACCCUUAAGUCUGGAAUAACUUAUCGAAAGGUGAAUUAAUACCGGAUAAUAUCCCGAAUGCCUCGGCAAUCGGGAUCAAAGAAGGCCUCUGCUUGCAAGCUUUUGCUGAAGGAUGAGUCCGCGUACCAUUAGCUAGUUGGUAGGGUAACGGCCUACCAAGGCCAAGAUGGGUAGCGGGUGUGAGAGCACGACCCGCAUCACUGGGACUGAGACACUGCCCAGACACCUACGGGUGGCUGCAGUCGAGGAUCUUCGGCAAUGGGCGCAAGCCUGACCGAGCGACGCCGCGUGCGGGAUGAAGGCCUUCGGGUUGUAAACCGCUGUCAGAGGGGAGGAAAUAUCGGGGGGUUCUCCCUCCGGUUUGACCUAUCCUCAGAGGAAGUACGGGCUAAGUUCGUGCCAGCAGCCGCGGUAAGACGAACCGUACGAACGUUACUCGGAAUCACUGGGCUUAAAGGGUGCGUAGGCGGCUCAGAAAGUUGGGUGUGAAAGCCCUCGGCUCAACCGAGGAAUUGCGCCCAAAACUGCCGGACUUGAGGAAGACAGAGGUGAGCGGAACUUAGGGUGGAGCGGUGAAAUGCGUUGAUAUCCUAAGGAACACCAGUAGCGAAAGCGGCUCACUGGGUCUCUUCUGACGCUGAGGCACGAAAGCUAGGGGAGCGAACGGGAUUAGAUACCCCGGUAGUCCUAGCCGUAAACGAUGAGCACUAGAUCGAAGGGUCCUCCAUAGCCUUUCGGUCGUAGCGAAAGUGUUAAGUGCUCCGCCUGGGGAGUAUGGUCGCAAGGCUGAAACUCAAAAGAAUUGACGGGGGCUCACACAAGCGGUGGAGCAUGUGGCUCAAUUCGAUGCAACGCGAAGAACCUUACCUAGCCUUGACAUGCAUUGGACCGACUCUGAAAGGAGUCUUUCCCGCAAGGGACCGGUGCACAGGUGCUGCAUGGCUGUCGUCAGCUCGUGUCGUGAGAUGUUGGGUUAAGUCCCGCAACGAGCGCAACCCUCGCCCUUAGUUGCCAUCAUUCAGUUGGGCACUCCAGGGGGACUGCCGGUGAUAAGCCGGAGGAAGGUGGGGAUGACGUCAAGUCCUCAUGGCCCUUACAGGCUGGGCUACACACGUGCUACAAUGGCGGUGACAGAGGGAUGCGAAAGGGCGACCUGGAGCAAAUCUCAAAAAGCCGUCUCAGUUCGGAUUGCACUCUGCAACUCGAGUGCAUGAAGGUGGAAUCGCUAGUAAUCGCAGAUCAGCACGCUGCGGUGAAUACGUUCCCG
rnacentral:rRNA from 1 species